UACGGGGGGUGCGAGCGUUGUCCGGAAUCACUGGGCGUAAAGGGCGCGUAGGUGGCUUUGUAAGUUUGCGGUGAAAGCCCGGGGCUCAACCCCGGGUCUGCCGUGGAUACUGCAAGGCUUGAGUACUGUAGAGGCAGGUAGAAUAUCGGGUGUAGCGGUGGAAUGCGUAGAGAUCCGAUAGAAGACCGGUGGCGAAGGCGGCCUGCUGGGCAGUAACCGACACUGAGGCGCGACAGCGUGGGGAGCAAACAGG
rnacentral:rRNA from 1 species